AUUGAACGCUGGCGGGAGGCCUAACACAUGCAAGUCGAGCGGAGUGGCGGACGGGUGAGUAAUGCAUAGGAACGUGCCCGGUAGCGGGGGAUAACUUCCGGAAACGGGCGCUAAUACCGCAUACUAUUAGAUGAGCCUAGGUCGGAUUAGCUAGUUGGUGGGGUAAAGGCCUACCAAGGCGACGAUCCGUAACUGGUUUGAGAGGAUGAUCAGCCACACUGGAACUGAGACACGGCCCAGACUCCUACGGGAGGCAGCAGUGGGGAAUAUUGGACAAUGGGGGAAAGCCUGAUCCAGCCAUGCCGCGUGUGUGAUGAAGGUCUUCGGGUUGUAAAGCACUUUAGGCUGGAAAGCGUUACCUGCAGAAUAAGCACCGGCUAACUACGUGCCAGCAGCCGCGGUAAUAC
rnacentral:rRNA from 1 species